UAUUGGUCAAUGGCCGAGAGGCUGAACCAGCCAAGUCGCGUGAGGGAGGACGGCCCUACGGGUUGUAAACCUCUUUUGUCAGGGAGCAAGGGACAGGUCGUGACCGGUUGUGAGAGUACCUGAAGAAAACGCAUCGGCUAACCCCGUGCCAGCAGCCGCGGUAAUACGGAGGAUGCGAGCGUUAUCCGGAUUCAUUGGGUUUAAAGGGUGCGCAGGCGGAGGCACAAGUCAGCGGUAAAAUCGGGGGGCUCAACCCCGCUCCGCCGUUGAAACUGUGUCCCUGGAGUGCGCGAAGGGUAGGCGGAAUGCGUGGUGUAGCGGUGAAAUGCAUAGAUAUCACGCAGAACUCCGAUCGCGAAGGCAGCCUACCGGCGCGCGACUGACGCUCAUGCACGAAAGCGUGGGUAUCGAACAGG
rnacentral:rRNA from 1 species